rnacentral:lncRNA from 1 species
CAAUCUCGGCUGAAUGAGAUGGGUCCCAGAGCAGGGAGAGCUGGGCUGCAGUUUGCAUUGCCACACCAGUAACUGCCCGGCUCUCUCGCGCUUCAAGGUCCUCCGCCACACUGGGAGCAGCGAUGGUGGAGGUAACGUUGUGUGUGAAUGGCUAGUUUUUCGGCCACAGUCCUGCCUCUGGGUCUGUCAGCUGUUGAAGCUCAACUCGAGGACAGAGAGACACGAGCAGGUUUGCAACGUAUGAGAACUUGGUCUGAGUCCGGUUCAUCUCCGCCACGGAUCGCACCAAAAUCAGAGAUGAUCAGCCAGACGUCUGCAGGUUGUCUCAGGAGCGAUUCAGAAGGCCUGCAGGGCUGCUGGAGUGAGUGCAGCACCACAGAGAAAGACUGUGGGCUGUGGCUCCAGCCCAGGUGCAUGACCACUCACCACAAGUGCCGAGUACCAUACAGGGCUUCACCAUUGCCCGUGCUUCAGUUUUCGGUCUGUAAACUGGAAGCAAGGCCUCAAACCAGCAACAAGUGGGAUGUGCUGGAAUAUUCAGUUACGGAUGAAUUUACAUUUGAUUGUGCGUAA